CGCUCACGAUUUCAGAGAGGAUUGGUGCCUUCGGGAACUCUGACACAGGUGCUGCAUGGGUGUCGUCAGCUCGUGUCGUGAGAUGUUGGGUUAAGUCCCGCAACGAGCGCAACCCUUGUCCUUAUUUACCAGCACGUUAAGGUGGGCACUCUAAGGAGACUGCCGGUGACAAACCGGAGGAAGGUGGGGAUGACGUCAAGUCAUCAUGGCCCUUACGGCCUGGGCUACACACGUGCUACAAUGGUCGGUACAAAGGGUUGCCAAGCCGCGAGGUGGAGCUAAUCCCAUAAAACCGAUCGUAGUCCGGAUCGCAGUCUGCAACUCGACUGCGUGAAGUCGGAAUCGCUAGUAAUCGUGAAUCAGAAUGUCGCGGUGAAUACGUUCCCGGGUCUUGUACACACCGA
rnacentral:rRNA from 1 species